AUGAACGCUGGCGGCGUGCCUAAUACAUGCCAGUCGAGCGAACGGACGAGAAGCUUGCUUCUCUGAUGUUAGCGGCGGACGGGUGAGUAACACGUGGAUAACCUACCUAUAAGACUGGGAUAACUUCGGGAAACCGGAGCUAAUACCGGAUAAUAUUUUGAACCGCAUGGUUCAAAAGUGAAAGACGGUCUUGCUGUCACUUAUAGAUGGGUCCGCGCUGCAUUAGCUAGUUGGUAAGGUAACGGCUUACCAAGGCAACGAUGCAUAGCCGACCUGAGAGGGUGAUCGGCCACACUGGAACUGAGACACGGUCCAGACUCCUACGGGAGGCAGCAGUAGGGAAUCUUCCGCAAUGGGCGAAAGCCUGACGGAGCAACGCCGCGUGAGUGAUGAAGGUCUUCGGAUCGUAAAACUCUGUUAUUAGGGAAGAACAUAUGUGUAAGUAACUGUGCACAUCUUGACGGUACCUAAUCAGAAAGCCACGGCUAACUACGUG
rnacentral:rRNA from 1 species